rfam:Ciona savignyi cont_37149, whole genome shotgun sequence.
GCUUAUGACCAUUGACACAUUGAAUAUACCCGAUCUCGUCUGAUCUCGGAAGUGAAGCUAUGUGGGGCUUGGUUAGUACUUGGAUGGGUGACCGCUUGGGAAUACCAAGUGUGAUAAGCA